GACGAACGCUGGCGGCGUGCUUAACACAUGCAAGUCGAACGGAAAGGCCUGCAGCUUGCUGCGGGUACUCGAGUGGCGAACGGGUGAGUAACACGUGGGUGAUCUGCCUUGCACUUCGGGAUAAGCUUGGGAAACUGGGUCUAAUACCGGAUAGGACAGCUGUUUAGUGUCAGUUGUGGAAAGUUUUUUCGGUGCAAGAUGAGCUCGCGGCCUAUCAGCUUGUUGGUGGGGUAAUGGCCUACCAAGGCGUCGACGGGUAGCCGGCCUGAGAGGGUGUACGGCCACAUUGGGACUGAGAUACGGCCCAGACUCCUACGGGAGGCAGCAGUGGGGAAUAUUGCACAAUGGGCGGAAGCCUGAUGCAGCGACGCCGCGUGGGGGAUGAAGGCCUUCGGGUUGUAAACUCCUUUCGACAGGGACGAAGCUUUUGUGACGGUACCCGUAUAAGAAGCACCGGCUAACUACGUGCCAGCAGCCGCGGUAAUACGUAGGGUGCGAGCGUUGUCCGGAAUUACUGGGCGUAAAGAGCUCGUAGGUGGUUUGUCGCGUCGUCUGUGAAAUUCCGGGGCUUAACUCCGGGCGUGCAGGCGAUACGGGCUGACUUGAGUGCUGUAGGGGAGACUGGAAUUCCUGGUGUAGCGGUGAAAUGCGCAGAUAUCAGGAGGAACACCGAUGGCGAAGGCAGGUCUCUGGGCAGUAACUGACGCUGAGGAGCGAAAGCAUGGGUAGCGAACAGGAUUAGAUACCCUGGUAGUCCACGCCGUAAACGAUGAGUGCUAAGUGUUAGGGGGUUUCCGCCCCUUAGUGCUGCAGCUAACGCAUUAAGCACUCCGCCUGGGGAGUACGACCGCAAGGUUGAAACUCAAAGGAAUUGACGGGGACCCGCACAAGCGGUGGAGCAUGUGGUUUAAUUCGAAGCAACGCGAAGAACCUUACCAAAUCUUGACAUCCUUUGACAACUCUAGAGAUAGAGCUUUCCCCUUCGGGGGACAAAGUGACAGGUGGUGCAUGGUUGUCGUCAGCUCGUGUCGUGAGAUGUUGGGUUAAGUCCCGCAACGAGCGCAACCCUUAAGCUUAGUUGCCAUCAUUAAGUUGGGCACUCUAAGUUGACUGCCGGUGACAAACCGGAGGAAGGUGGGGAUGACGUCAAAUCAUCAUGCCCCUUAUGAUUUGGGCUACACACGUGCUACAAUGGACAAUACAAAGGGCGGCGAAACCGCGAGGUCAAGCAAAUCCCAUAAAGUUGUUCUCAGUUCGGAUUGUAGUCUGCAACUCGACUACAUGAAGCUGGAAUCGCUAGUAAUCGUAGAUCAGCAUGCUACGGUGAAUACGUUCCCGGGUCU
rnacentral:rRNA from 1 species